UACGUAGGGUGCGAGCGUUGUCCGGAUUUAUUGGGCGUAAAGAGCGUGUAGGCGGCCAUUCAGGUCAGCUGUGAAAACUCGAGGCUCAACCUCGAGACGUCGGUUGAAACCGUUUGGCUAGAGUCCGGAAGAGGAGAGUGGAAUUCCCGGUGUAGCGGUGAAAUGCGUAGAGAUCGGAAAGAACACCAACGGCGAAAGCACUCUGCUGGGCCGACACUGACACUGAGAGACGAAAGCUAGGGGAGCGAAUGGG
rnacentral:rRNA from 1 species